rnacentral:rRNA from 1 species
GGAUGAACGCUGGCGGCGUGCCUAAUACAUGCAAGUCGAACGAGGCCCUCUUCCUUCGGGAGGAGGUGUCCUAGUGGCGAACGGGUGAGUAACACGUUGGUGACCUACCCCGAAGAGGGGGACAACCCCGGGAAACUGGGGCUAAUACCCCAUGUGAUCCUAAGGAUUAGAUGCCUAAGGAUGAAAUGGAGCAAUUCGCUUCGGGAGGGGCCUGCGGCCUAUCAGCUAGUUGGUGAGGUAAUGGCUCACCAAGGCGACGACGGGUAGGGGACCUGAGAGGGUGACCCCCCACACUGGAACUGAAACACGGACCAGACACCUACGGGUGGCAGCAGUAGGGAAUAUUGCACAAUAGGCGAAAGCCUGAUGCAGCAACGCCGCGUGCGCGAUGAAGGCCUUAGGGUUGUAAAGCGCUUUUCUGGGGGAAGAGAAAGGACGGUACCCCAGGAAUAAGUCUCGGCUAACUACGUGCCAGCAGCCGCGGUAAAACGUAGGAGGCGAGCGUUAUCCGGAUUUACUGGGCGUAAAGCGCGUGCAGGCGGUUUGGUAAGUCGGACGUGAAAGCUCCCGGCUCAACUGGGAGAGGCCGUUCGAAACUACCAGGACUAGAGGGCAGCAGAGGGAGGUGGAAUUCCAGGUGUAGCGGUGAAAUGCGUAGAUAUCUGGAGGAACACCAGUGGCGAAGGCGGCCUCCUGGACUGUCCCUGACGUUAAGACGCGAAAGCUAGGGGAGCGAACGGGAUUAGAAACCCCGGUAGU